rnacentral:rRNA from 1 species
AACGCAGCGAAGGGCGAUAAGUAAUGUGAAUUGCAGAAUUCAGUGAAUCAUCGAAUCUUUGAACGCACCUUGCGCCUCUUGGUAUUCCGAGAGGCAUGCCUGUUUGAGUGUCUUAUAUAAUCAAUCCCCACGGGUUUCAUUACCUGGUGUGGACUUGGACUUGGGUGCCUGCCAUCUGGCUCGCCUCAAAGACGUUAGUGGGAUAAGCUAGCUGCCUGUGGCUCGACGUGAUAAGUUUCGUCGGACCUGGCUCCUUAUGCCCGCUCAUAACCUGCCCUUGGGCACACUGUAUGCUAGACCUCAAAUCAGGUAGGACUACCCGCUGAACUUAA